UUGAAAAAGGGACUGCUCCCAAAGAACUUGAGAGAAGCCCUUAAAAACAAGCUGCCUACCUCUGAUCAUCUCUAUGUUAACCACCAAGACUGACAGGCCUCCGAAGACAGCUCUGCCAAAUGUUGCCGUUUUUGGCCUGCCCUGCCCCUAUCCUUUGCCGAUGAAAGACUUCAGCUGGCAGAGCAACACAAGUGGCUGAAUGUCAAGGAUACAAGCAGCUGAGUGGUGAGCAGAGAAGCAGUGCGCGUCAGAGACUAUGGAUAGACACGGCUAACUUCAGGCGGUGCGGCUUCGGAGAGGAGCCCAGCCAGAGACGGCCGGGCUUCAGGGAAAGAUCACCCUCCCAUCCCCUUUCCAGCCUCCCUUUCUGCUGAGAGCCACCCACCGCUCAAUAAAGUCUGCAUUCAUCACCUUUCUAACAGUUCAUCGGACAUGAACCCAGGUUCUGAGAGGGCAGGGUUUGCCACCCUGACCCUCCACUGACCUGGUUGGCACUUGGCCAUCCCCGGAUGGCAGAACUGAAAGAGCAUUGGUCGUAACAUGCUUGGACGCUGCUGCAGGGCCCACAAGAGCCUGCUCCCACCAGAGAAGAGUGACCAGUCGGUCCCAGGAUUCAUUUGCUCUGGUUCCUGCACUCACUCGCUUGCACGCUCCCUCCUGCCAAGAGUAGCCAGUGCGGGCUGAGUGGAAUGAGCUACUCCAGUUUCCGCCCACGAAGGAGUUCAAGAGAACUAACCCGUCCCAAUAGGAAAGGGAAAAAAAGCAGAGUGGAAGAACCAUGUUUAACCUAUUAAUCUUUUUGCUUCUGUAAUACUUAUAGUUUCCUGAUUUUUUUGAAAAAUAACUUGAGGUGAUGGCUAGCUUUGCUUAAUGAACAACUCAAGCAUAAUUGUUAAAAAUGAGUAAAUUAGGUGUAUGUAAAUGGUAUACAAAUUGAUAAAUGAACUUUUCAGUUUUGAAAACCUU
rnacentral:lncRNA from 1 species